rnacentral:rRNA from 1 species
UACGUAGGGUGCAAGCGUUGUCCGGAAUUAUUGGGCGUAAAGAGCUCGUAGGCGGUUAGUCGCGUCUGCUGUGAAAACCCGGGGCUCAACCCCGGGCCUGCAGUCGAUACGGGCAGACUAGAGUGCGGUAGGGGAGACUGGAAUUCCUGGUGUAGCGGUGAAAUGCGCAGAUAUCAGGAGGAACACCGGUGGCGAAGGCGGGUCUCUGGGCCGUAACUGACGCUGAGGAGCGAAAGCGUGGGGAGCGAACAGG